rnacentral:rRNA from 1 species
UAGAACCUGAAACCUUGUGUUUACAAGCACCGAAAGCUCAUCAAAGAGCGAUCGGGUACCUUUUGUAGAAUGGUCCGGCGAGUGAAUGUAACCGGCGAGGUUAAGCACUUAAGGUGUGAAGCCGCAGCGAGAGCAAGUCUGAAAAGGGCGUAUGAAGUCGGUUGUAUUCGACCCGAAACCGGGUGACCUACCCAUGGUCAGGUUGAAAUAAAGGUAAAACUUUAUGGAGGACCGAACCGACUCCCGUUGAAAUGGUAGCGGAUGAACUGUGGGUAGCGGAGAAAUUCCAAUCGAACCCGGAGAUAGCUGGUUCUCUCCGAAAUAGCUUUAGGGCUAGCCUUGAAAUAGAUUACCGGAGGUAAAGCACUGAAUUGGCUAGGGGCCGAGAGGUUACUGAACCUUAUCAAACUAAGAAUGCCGGAUAACCGUUUUUCAGGAGUCAGACAGUGGGAGAUAAGUUUCAUUGUCAAAAGGGAAACAGCCCAGACCCACAGCUAAGGUCCCAAGUAUAGUUAAGUGGAAAAGGAUGUGGAAUUGCACAGACAACCAGGAUGUUGGCUUAGAAGCAGCCACUCAUUAAAAGAGUGCGUAAUAGCUCACUGGUCGAGUGACUCUGCGCCGAAAAUUUAACGGGGCUAAACUAUACACCGAAGCUUGGGAUACAUCUAAUGUAUGGUAGGAGAGCGUUCUGUAUGGGGAGAAGUCGUAGCGAAAGCGGCGGUGGACUAUACAGAAGUGAGAAUGCCGGAAUAAGUAGCGAGAAUUAAGUGAGAAUCUUAAUGGCCGAAAGUCUAAGGUUUUUGGAGGAAGGUUCGUCCGCUCCAAGUAAGUCGGGAGCUAAGGUCAGGCCGAAAGGCGUAGCCGAUGCACAUACGGUUGAUAUUCCGUAACCAUCUGUAAUUUAAGCAAAGGGACACUUCAAAAGGGUGUGACCCGGGCGUUGGUUGACCCGGGCGUAAGGGACCGAAAUUAGAGUAGGGAAGCACACUUAGCUGAAGGCGAGGAAAGCUUUGCGUAUAGAAGCAGAUGCCCGUACCGCAAACCGACACAGGUGGACAGGAAGAGAAUUCUAAGGCCAGCGGGAGAAGGGUAGUUAAGGAACUCGGCAAAUUGUCUCCGUAACUUCGGAAUAAGGAGUGCUCGAAAGAGCCGCAGAGAAUAGGCCCAGGCGACUGUUUAGCAAAAACACAGGUCUCUGCCAAAUCGAAAGAUGAAGUAUAGGGGCUGACACCUGCCCGGUGCCGGAAGGUUAUGAGGAGGAGUGAGAGCUCCGAAUUGAAGCCCCGGUAAACGGCGGCCGUAACAAUAACGGUCCUAAGGUAGCGAAAUUCCUUGUCGGGUAAGUUCCGACCCGCACGAAUGGUGUAACGAUCUGGGCACUGUCUCAACUACCCACCCGGCGAAAUUGUAGUACCGGUGGAGAUGCCGGUUACCUGCGGCAAGACGGAAAGACCCCAUGGAGCUUUACUGUAGCCUGAUAUU